UGGUUCUGGCAUCGAUGAAGAGCGCAGCGAAAUGCGAUAAGUAAUGCGAAUUGCAGAAUUCCAGUGAGUCAUCGAAUCUUUGAACGCACAUUGCGCCCUUUGGCAUUCCGAAGGGCAUGCCUGUUCGAGCGUCGUUAUCACCCCUCAAGCCUCGCGCUUGGUGUUGGACGGCUCGGUCGCGGCGACGUGACCCCUCCUAAAGACAAUGACGGCGGCCUGUGGUUCCCCCGGUACGCUGAGCUUUUCAUCGAGCACGUAUCGGAUGAGGGCACCCGGUCCCCGGUCUUCUCCUCUUCACCGAGGAACGAUUUUACUAGGUUGACCUCGGAUCAGGUAGGAAUACGCGCUGA
rnacentral:misc_RNA from 1 species